UUUUGCUAUUUGUUUUUACUCAGACGUCACUGUUUCACGGAGUUUGGGUGGACUCUGACGGGCGCUCGCCAGCCGGAGCCGACGGCGGGUGUGACCCCGCGGGCCCGCCAAAGCAACAGAGGUAUGGUUCACAAAGGGUGGGAGGUUCGGGCCCCGGGGGACCCUCGCUCGGUAAUGAUCCUUCCGCAGGUUCACCUACGGAAA
rnacentral:misc_RNA from 1 species